rnacentral:rRNA from 1 species
AGCGCAAACGCUGGCGGCAGGCCUAACACAUGCAAGUCGAACGAAGCCUUCGGGCUUAGUGGCGCACACGGGUGAGUAACACGUGGGAACGUACCUUUCGGUGGGGAAUAACCUCGGGAAACUGAGGCUUUAAUACCGCAUACGCCCUUUUGGGGAAAGAUUUAUCGCCGAGAGAUCGGCCCGCGUCCGAGAUUAGCUAGUUGGUGAGGUAACGGCUCACCAAGGCUACGAUCGGUAGCUGGUCUGAGAGGACAUGAUCAGCCACACUGGGACUGAGACACGGCCCAGACUCCUACGGGAGGCAGCAGUGGGGAAAAUAUUGGACAAUGGGCGCAAGCCUGAUCCAGCCAUGCCGCGUGAGUGAUGAAGGCCUUAGGAGGUUGUAAAGCUCUUUCGACGGGGACGAUGAUGACGGUACCCGUAGAAGAAGCCCCGGCUGCAACUCCGUGCCAGCAGCCGCGGUAAUACGGAGGGGGCUAGCGUUGUUCGGAAUUACUGGGUACGUAAAGGGCGCGUAGGCGGCGAUUUAAGUUAGGCGUGAAAGCCCCGGGCUUAACCUGGGACAACUGCGCUUGAUACUGGAUUGCUUGAGGACGGAAGAGGGUAGUGGAAUACCCAGUGUAGGCAGGUGAAAUUCGU